rnacentral:rRNA from 1 species
GAUGAACGCUGGCGGCGUGCCUAAUACAUGCAAGUCGAGCGAACAGAUGAGGAGCUUGCUCCUCUGACGUUAGCGGCGGACGGGUGAGUAACACGUGGAUAACCUACCUAUAAGACUGGGAUAACUUCGGGAAACCGGAGCUAAUACCGGAUAAUAUAUUGAACCGCAUGGUUCAAUAGUGAAAGACGGUUUUGCUGUCACUUAUAGAUGGAUCCGCGCCGCAUUAGCUAGUUGGUAAGGUAACGGCUUACCAAGGCAACGAUGCGUAGCCGACCUGAGAGGGUGAUCGGCCACACUGGAACUGGGACACGGUCCAAACUCCUACGGGAAGCAACAGUAAGGAAUCUUCCGCAAUGGGCGAAAGCCUGACGGAACAACGCCGCGUGAGGGAUUAAGGUCUUCGGAUCGUAAAACUCUGUUAUUAGGGAAGAACAAAUGUGUAAGUAACUAUGCACGUCUUGACGGUACCUAAACAGAAAGCCACGGCUAACUACGUG